rnacentral:tRNA from 1 species
CAAAUUAAAGCUUAUUGUAAAGUAUUUCAUUUACAUUGAAAAGAAAUUAUUAAAUUAAUGAAUUUGA